rnacentral:rRNA from 1 species
AUUGAACGCUGGCGGCAGGCCUAACACAUGCAAGUCGAACGAGUGGCGGACGUGUGAGUAAUGUCUCUGCAACUUCCUGAUGGAUGGGGACAACUACUUGAAACGGUAGCUAAUACCGCAUACCAUCAGAUGUGCCCAUAUGGGAUUAGCUAGUUGGUGGGGUAACGGCUCACCAAGGCGACGAUCCCUAGCUGGUCUGAGAGGAUGACCAGCCACACUGGAACUGAGACACGGUCCAGAUGCCUACGGGAGGCAGCAGUGGGGAAUAUUGAACAAUGGGCGCAAGCCUGAUGCAGCCAUGCCGCGUGUAUGAAGAAGGCCUUCGGGUUGUAAAGUACUUUAAGCGGGGAGGCGUUACCCGCAGAAGAAGCACCGGCUAACUCCGUGCCAGCAGCCGCGGUAAUAC